UGUCGAGUGCUUUUAUAAGGCUGGAAAACUGAAUAGGGUUGUAGUGCAUAUAUCGCUAAGUUUAGAAGUUUUAAUGAGGUAGUGUAUCGUCGUUUGAUUCAAAGUCUUGAAGUGUUGGGACAGUUGAUUCAGACAAAGACAACUUUAAAAUGGACAAAUAUCCAACAAUGAAAAAUACAAAUUUCUUUCAAUUUAUGAUUGGGCUUCUGUUUGUUAUUUUUCUCUCCUUCCUGCAAGUCAAUGCAAGACCUCCAACAGGCUUUGUCGAUAGAGAUGUUUUGCUUAGCUCUGACAAUUUUGACGAAGAGUAAACCUCAAAUAACUUUGCUUGUCUUCGUUCAUCAUUUUGUGCCAUUUAACUAAUAAUUCAGCGAUGUGUUUUAUAAUUUUUGUUAUCGUGUAUAAUUAAAAAAAAACUUUGGAACAGUCUUUGUGUACGUUUUAUAAAACAAUUUACCAUGAUAAAUAUGAAUGUUUGUUGUUUUCUUAAUACUAAUUGGCAAUGAUAUUUGGACCUCGUGAAAGUGACCAGGACUUUUUUAAUUCAAUGAAUAUACUGCAAACAUCUGAUUAAGGAAACAUCAAGUAGAACAUAUAUUUUAGAGUCAAAAAUUAAAACUUGAAAAUUUAUCAGGGGAUAAUUAUGAGGCAUUCAUGUAAGUCGUACCGAUGGGAACGUUUACUAUAUGAAUUUUAACGUGGGAUACUUUAACUACACUAAAGCCGCCUUUUGUUGUAUUUAGUUGAAUUAAUUAAUUUAAACCUAUUCUGACAAACGUAGUUAAUAAUCUGGAGAAAAAACAAUAAUUUGAUAAAGACUUGGACAAAACCAUACUUUUAGAAAUUUAAUGUAAAAAUGCUUUUGACGAAACUCAUUGUUGAUAAUUUCGUAAUAUUUAAUUAAUCAUUCAUGAUUCUCAUCCAAAAUGCAGUAAAUUUCGGUUUCCUGAUGUCAAUAUAGUAUAAAUUGAUCUCCUGAUAUUUAGAACUCGUGGAACGCGAAAUAGUUUUGAAAGUGCUUGCUGACAAGAAACAAACAGACACUAGUUGAAGUAAACAUUAAUACGUUCAGCUGGUAAUUCAGCUGUCAGCUAUCUAGUUAUAUGUAUUUUAUACCACAAACUUGGCCAUAGACUGUUUGGCGCUUUUGUUUGUUGAACGGAGAAUAUACUCAAGCAUAAUAAAAUCUAUGCAAUGUCGAGAAUCAAUGUUUAAGAGGAAAUAUAUACUAUAAAAAAGUUAUGUUAGAAAAUACUAUAAUGUUAUUUUUCUUCCUAUCAGAAUACAAAAUUUCCUGACGUUA